rnacentral:lncRNA from 10 species
GGAAUUUGUUGUGAGAGAAGAUUUAAUGGGCCUGGCAAUAGGAACACAUGGUAGUAACAUCCAGCAAGCUAGGAAGGUUCCUGGAGUUACCGCCAUUGAGCUAGAUGAAGAUACUGGAACAUUCAGAAUCUACGGAGAGAGUGCUGAUGCUGUAAAAAAGGCUAGAGGUUUCUUGGAAUUUGUGGAGGAUUUUAUUCAGGUUCCUAGGAAUCUCGUUGAUGGAGUCUUGCUUUGUCACUCAGGCUGGAGUGCAGUUGCAGCGAUGCAAUCUCGGCUCACUGCAACCUCUGCCUCCUGGGUUCAAGCGAUUCUACUGCCUCAGCCUCCCAAGUAGCUGGGACUACAGGCGCCUGCCACCACGCCUGGCUAAUUUUUGUAUUUUUAGUAGAGAUGUGGUUUCACCAUAUUGGCCAGGCUGGUCUUGAACUCCUGCUCCUGAUCUUGUGAUCCGCCCACCUCGGCCUCCCAAAGUGCUGGGAUUACAGGCGUGAUCCACCGCGCCCGGAUGUAA